rnacentral:lncRNA from 1 species
CCCGACGGUCGCGGCCACCGCCACCGCCGUCGCCAGCCACCACCACAUGUCGUCUGCCCCUUGCUUUUGUCUUUUUUUUCUUUUACGCUCUCUGUUUUUUUCGCGUUGUUUUUGAGACGUGCUCUUGUCGUAUAGCCUGUUUGUUGUUGUUGUCGUUGGUGUUGUGACCGUUGUUGUUGCGGUUGCCGCGUACCGAGUAAAAAGAAAAAAAUCGUGUAUCCAAGGCGCGUCGCGGGGCCGAGGGCGGCGCGACGGUGCACGCGCAUGCC